rnacentral:rRNA from 1 species
GACGAACGCUGUUGGCGUGCUUAACACAUGCAAGUCGAACGGAAAGGCCCUGCUUUUGUGGGGUGCUCGAGUGGCGAACGGGUGAGUAACACGUGAGUAACCUGCCCUUGACUUUGGGAUAACUUCAGGAAACUGGGGCUAAUACCGGAUAGGAGCUCCUGCUGCAUGGUGGGGGUUGGAAAGUUUCGGCGGUUGGGGAUGGACUCGCGGCUUAUCAGCUUGUUGGUGGGGUAGUGGCUUACCAAGGCUUUGACGGGUAGCCGGCCUGAGAGGGUGACCGGCCACAUUGGGACUGAGAUACGGCCCAGACUCCUACGGGAGGCAGCAGUGGGGAAUAUUGCACAAUGGGCGGAAGCCUGAUGCAGCAACGCCGCGUGCGGGAUGACGGCCUUCGGGUUGUAAACCGCUUUCGCCUGUGACGAAGCGUGAGUGACGGUAAUGGGUAAAGAAGCACCGGCUAACUACGUGCCAGCAGCCGCGGUGAUACGUAGGGUGCGAGCGUUGUCCGGAUUUAUUGGGCGUAAAGGGCUCGUAGGUGGUUGAUCGCGUCGGAAGUGUAAUCUUGGGGCUUAACCCUGAGCGUGCUUUCGAUACGGGGUUGACUUGAGGAAGGUAGGGGGAGAAUGGAAUUCCUGGUGGAGCGGUGGAAUGCGCAGAUAUCAGGAGGAACACCAGUGGCGAAGGCGGUUCUCUGGGCCUUUCCUGACGCUGAGGAGCGAAAGCGUGGGGAGCGAACAGGCUUAGAUACCCUGGUAGUCCACGCUGUAAACGGUGGGUACUAGGUGUGGGGUCCGUUCCACGGGUUCCGUGCCGUAGCUAACGCUUUAAGUACCCCGCCUGGGGAGUACGGCCGCAAGGCUAAAACUCAAAGGAAUUGACGGGGCCCCGCACAAGCGGCGGAGCAUGCGGAUUAAUUCGAUGCAACGCGUAGAACCUUACCUGGGUUUGACAUGGAUCGGGAGUGCUCAGAGAUGGGUGUGCCUCUUUUGGGGUCGGUUCACAGGUGGUGCAUGCCUGUCGUCAGCUCGUGUCGUGAGAUGUUGGGUUAAGUCCCGCAACGAGCGCAACCCUUGUUCACUGUUGCCAGCACGUUAUGGUGGGGACUCAGUGGAGACCGCCGGGGUCAACUCGGAGGAAGGUGGGGAUGACGUCAAGUCCUCAUGCCCCUUAUGUCCAGGGCUUCACGCAUGCUACAAUGGCUGGUACAGAGAGUGGCGAGCCUGUGAGGGUGAGCGAAUCUCGGAAAGCCGGUCUCAGUUCGGAUUGGGGUCUGCAACUCGACCUCAUGAAGUCGGAGUCGCUAGUAAUCGCAGAUCAGCAACGCUGCGGUGAAUACGUUCCCGGG